AGGAAUACAAGAGCGAGGCUCCCUCGCCUCAUCAUAGCAGGGGUCGGCAGAGGCCGGCAGCCCUGGGCUCAGUGCAGCGGAGAGCGUGCCCGCGGUCAGCAGCAGCCCCCAGAGCCAGGUGGGCAUGGCCGUGGCCGCUGCCCUGGGACUCUGCAUAAUCCUGAUGGUCCGAGGAGGGACUGGCCAGGAGGUCCUGGGUCCGCGUACCAGACCUGCAGCAGCCUCCUGGAAACGCGCAGGCUCCGCUCCAACUGCCGCUGCCGAUCGGCGCAGGAGUCCAAGGCGCCCUGCAGCUCCGCUACCAGCCUGAGGACAGUUUUGCCGAACCUACUUUGAAAGCAGAGAUAAGCGGUCUUGCUGACUCCAGGAUGACUUAGCAAUCAAGCAUAUGGCCAGAAGACAAUGCUAGAACUGGGUCAAGGAACAUCUUAGGAAUGUCAGGCGCCAGACGUGAACAAUGAAGCCCAGGGAAUCUGGAGCAUGUGGCACUUAGAAUAGGUCUGCUAAGCUGCUCUACGUCAUGGAAGGUUGUGCAAGAGACAGAGGAGUGUCAGAUAGUAGAUAGAUAGGCGGAGGGGAGGCUGAAGCCCAGAGAAUGGCCAGGAGGCCGUAGAUAGGACACAUGCAAACACAGCAGCUAAGGGUCAGAGCAAUGGUCUUUGCCCUCAAAGAUCUACCAAGCUAGGCCAGCUUGUCAAUACAUGGUUAAUAUUGACUUGUUUGGCAUAGAUUAUCAGUACAUUAUGUUCUCCAUCAAGUCAGUUUGUGCAAUCUCAUGUAGUCUCAGCUGGCCUUCAAUUCACUAUGUAUCUGAUGACCUUGAACUCAUGACCUUCCUGUCUCCAUUUCAAUUAUUUUUUACUUUUAUCUUUUUUGGUUUUUCGAGACAGGGUUUCUCUGUGUAGCCCUGGAUGUCCUGGAACUCACUUUGUAGACCAGGUUAGCCUCCAACUCUGAGAUCCACCUGCCUCUGCCUCCCAAGUGCUGGGAUUAAAGGUGUGUGCCACC
rnacentral:lncRNA from 1 species